rnacentral:rRNA from 1 species
AGUGAACGCUGGCGGUAGGCCUAACACAUGCAAGUCGAACGGCAGCACAGGAGAGCUUGCUCUCUGGGUGGCGAGUGGCGGACGGGUGAGGAAUACAUCGGAAUCUACUCUGUCGUGGGGGAUAACGUAGGGAAACUUACGCUAAUACCGCAUACGACCUACGGGUGAAAGCAGGGGACUUUCGGGACUUGCGCGAGUGAAUGAGCCGAUGUCGGAUUAGCUCGUUGGCGGGGUAAAGGCCCACCAAGGCGACGAUCCGUAGCUGGUCUGAGAGGAUGAUCAGCCACACUGGAACUGAGACACGGUCCAGACUCCUACGGGAGGCAGCAGUGGGGAAUAUUGGACAAUGGGCGCAAGCCUGAUCCAGCCAUACCGCGUGGGUGAAGAAGGCCUUCGGGUUGUAAAGCCCUUUUGUUGGGAAAGAAAUCCAUCUGGUUAAUACCCGGGUGGGAUGACGGUACCCAAAGAAUAAGCACCGGCUAACUUCGUGCCAGCCGCCGCCGUAA